AUAAUGGGUCAGCGACUUAUAUUCUGUAGCAAGGUUAACCGAAUAGGGGAGCCGAAGGGAAACCGAGUCUUAACUGGGCGUUAAGUUGCAGGGUAUAGACCCGAAACCCGGUGAUCUAGCCAUGGGCAGGUUGAAGGUUGGGUAACACUAACUGGAGGACCGAACCGACUAAUGUUGAAAAAUUAGCGGAUGACUUGUGGCUGGGGGUGAAAGGCCAAUCAAACCGGGAGAUAGCUGGUUCUCCCCGAAAGCUAUUUAGGUAGCGCCUCGUGAAUUCAUCUCCGGGGGUAGAGCACUGUUUCGGCAAGGGGGUCAUCCCGACUUACCAACCCGAUGCAAACU
rnacentral:rRNA from 1 species